rnacentral:misc_RNA from 1 species
GUAAAUUAUAGCAGCAGGGCACCUAUCGCAGAGCAGUAGAGUUGUGAAUAGAUCACUUGUUGCCUGAAGACUGUUGGUUAAGCUCUGAUCGCCCCAUUUUAUCUUCUAGGGCCCUCCCGUUCCGCUGCAAUUCAUCCAAUUCCUCAUACAGCUCUUCACUUCUUUCGGUAAAAGCCUUGCUCUCCUCUAAUCGCCGUUUGCUCUCUCUAUGUUUUGAUAGGCCAAGUGAUCGCACCAAGAAAAUGCCUCCAGCAACCGAAUAGACAAUGAUUUUGCCAUAAAAAUGAGUAGCAGUUUGAAGAAGUUCCUCAGUCGAAGGUAGUGUCUCAGUACCAACGGCACCAUGGCUGGCCUCGGAGGCGGCACAGUUAAUUGUGCUGGAGCUGAGUUUCGCAUCCCUGAAUUCGGUAAUAUUCGGCGUCUUCGGCGUCUCCAAAUCGAUGAUCCAUUGUCGGAAAUUCGGGUAGCGGGCAGCCGAUUUCCUGAUCCCGCAGCCGACUCCAUAGGCAGGCAUCCUCAGGAGCAGCGAGAUCGUACGAAGCAGCGGCGACGGCGAGCUCAUCUCUCU